GGUGGCUCAGUGGUAGAGCGCUUGCCUGGCAUGCAUGGGGCAUGGGGUUUCAUUCCUCAGCACCA
rnacentral:tRNA from 1 species